rnacentral:rRNA from 1 species
AGCAGCAGCCAUGACACCCUGAAACUCACAACUGGCAGCCCAAUCAAGCUCAGCAGUGUGAGCCUGGUCAGUACCUGGAUGGGAGACCUCCUUGGAAAAACAGGUUGCUGCUGGAA